rnacentral:rRNA from 1 species
AAUCAACGCUGGCGGCGUGCCUCAGACAUGCAAGUCGAACGAUUAAAGCUCUCUUCGGAGAGUGCAUAAAGUGGCGCACGGGUGAGUAACACGUAAGUAAUCUACCUUCGAGUGGGGAAUAACAUCGGGAAACCGAUGCUAAUACCGCAUAAUGCAGCGGCAUCGCAAGAUGACAGUUGUUAAAGAUUUAUCGCUUGAAGAGGAGCUUGCGGCAGAUUAGCUAGUUGGUAAGGUAAUGGCUUACCAAGGCUACGAUCUGUAACCGGUCUAAGAGGACGGUCGGUCACACUGACACUGAAUAACGGGUCAGACUCCUACGGGAGGCAGCAGUCGGGAAUUUUGGGCAAUGGGCGAAAGCCUGACCCAGCAACGCCGCGUGAAGGAUGAAGUAUUUCGGUAUGUAAACUUCGAAAGAAUAGGAAGAAUAAAUGACGGUACUAUUUAUAAGGUCCGGCUAACUACGUGCCAGCAGCCGCCGUAAC